UGCCCUGUGAUGUGCCAUUUUCAUUCAUGCAGCCUGCCGCUCAUUGACUCACGCCAUCCCCGACAACGCCAAUGUAUAGCAGAGUGGACCGCCGCGUGCAUGCAUCAUGCAAGCCGGAGGAUAGCGCCAAAUAGACAGCGCAUGAACCGUUAAAUUGGAGCAGUGGCCAAUGGAACGCCUCAAGCCAGACACCGACGUACCGCCAAAUAAAACUGAAGCAAGGGCUGCCCUCCCUUCACCACCCAUGAUUUGCCAGGAGUGUCAUGAGCAUCCUGAGACUUCCGCAGGGGAGGCUACCGACUGGCCCCGUAACGAGACAAGUGGUCCUCAGGCUGCCGA